AACCACCUAAGUAGUUUGAGGCAGCACGAAAGAAGGAACAUACCUUCUUCUUAGGAGGAGCAAGAGCAAGAGCAUCGUCAUCAUCGCCGCCCUCAUCAAGCUGCAAUUUCCGUGUUUCAGUGAUCCACUCUUCCAACACAUCUUCCAUGUCGUAGGAUGCGUCUCUGAGCUGAUCCAGCCAAAGAGUAACAGCUUUGUCCUGCUUCAUUUGCCUCUGCUCUGCAUCUUACAGUACAGCUUGAAUGACUUGAAGAUUGGUAGUAAGCUUUCCCACUUCUUGUUCGACACCCGUCACAAGCCUCCACUUUUCUUUCACCUGAUCUUGAGCAAUGGAUUUCAGCUGGUCCAGGAGAGAGGAAACGAUCGCAUGAGCCAUUCAGAGGAAAGUAGGUUUUAUGUAUUCUGUGAGAAUGUUCAUUCAAGCAUGUUUGCAUUCUUCUUAUACCAUAUGAGAUAUUUAAUUUUUACCCUCGAGUCAAUGUCAAUAAUUGUACAGCGUCUGCCCUGUUUCUCUGAUUCAUAAUAAUUCAUUGUUAAUUCUGCAGAGUACACAGCGUCAGCACUUGUGAAAUUUCUUACAUUUGUAAAAUCAUGCAGCCGACCCUUGUGAACUAACUAAUUAACUAAAUUUUCUUACAUUGUCAAUAAGUUAUGAUUAUUGUGAAUUUUCCAUCCCCUAUAUAAAUUCUUAGAUUUAUUUAAAUUGUGAGUCAUAGAAGUAUAUUACCUAAAUUAUUUUAUCAGGCCAUGUUCCGAUACUAGGAGUAAGUACGGAAUUGGACUAAUUUUGUGAUUAUCUAUUUAUCUCAUAUUUGAUAAGCUUAAUUGAAUUGGAUUUAGGAACCAAAUUUAAAUUUAAUCCUAAAAUUAUGGAAUUGAUAAUCCUAAUUUACGCAUAACUUUAGUUGGGAUAAAAUUAAAGAAAAAAAGUUAUCCAUUUAUGAGACUUUAAUUUAUAUCAUUAUCGUUUAUUUAUGCUUAAUAUUUAUUUAUUUUUUUUAAUUUAUGAUUUACUUAAAAUUUAUUUUUAUUUAUUAUCUAUCAUCUGAUUAAAUUAGAACUUUACUUCUACUAACUCUUGAUAUUAAUUUUUCAUUACUUGCAUAUUUGAUAAUUUGUCAAUAAAAUUAACCAUUUAAUAAUUUAUUGCAUAAUAGAUUGUAUUAAACUUACUAAUCACUAAAAAAAUAUUUAAAAUCAUCAUGAAAAUUAAUAAUACCGUCAAUUAAUUGAUUUUAUAUACUUUUUUAAAUAUUUGAUAAAAAAUAAUUAAGUAUUUAAAUUUUUAUUUCAUUUUUUUAUUUGUUUAUUUUAUUAUGGAUACCCAAUAACUUGCAAUAUAAUUAAUUUUCUUAUUCAGACUACUCAGCAUCAGCUCCUAUAAAAUUUCUUACAUUAUAAGCAACAAAAUAUUUAUAAACUACAACAAAGGGCUUAAAUCAAUCCACCGAUUAACCUUUUGAAGUUAUAUAUAAUAUAUUAACUGUUGAUCUAGAAUAGUCUUAGUGGAUAGAUUUUUUUUAAUUAUAAAUAUCAAUAAAUUUUUUUUAUCGUUUAAUAGAUAUUGAUGAAAUUAUAUGGAGUAAUUUCGCCCAAUCAUAUAUAUUAUAACAAAAGUUGGAAAAGAGAAAAAUAAAACAAAAGUUGGAAAAAUCAUGCAGUCGUUGGGAAUUUCGAAAUUUGAGAAUUUUGCCCGUAGCUACAGGCUGCAGCGAUUUUUGACUUUCAUGAUGCAAACAAACCAAUCAUCAUUAAUUUCAAUAGAAAGAAGUAUUCUAGGUGGAAUUGAUUUCUGGAGCAGAAUAUGAUGUAUUUGGGACUUCCUACUCUAUUAGAUAGGUUAAUAACAUGUUAAUUGUCACAUCAUUAAUUUUAGAUUAUAAAUUUUAUAUUCAAACUUUGUAUGACUGCUCCUUUUUCAUUUGAAAAAAAAAAAAAAAAUUAACUUCUAGCAUGAUCUAAUUAAUUGAUCUUGUUUCAAAAGAAUCAAAAAAAUAAAUAAAAUAAAAUAAAGUAAUGCCAUAAUCUAAUUGGUCUUGUUAUUGACAUGUACUAAUGCAUUCUAUAUUUCUAACUUUGUACAUUUUAUUGAUAUGUUUCUCUUGAGAGAUAAGAAUCAUUAUGUGGCAAAAUUUUAUUAAAGCUGGGAUUAUUUAUGUUCUAAUACUUUGAACAUUAAUUUUUAAUCUACUCUUUAGAAUACAAAAAUAAUCCUUACCUAAACAUCUUUCAUAAAUGUUUUUUGCUGGGGCUGCUAAAAUUCAUAAUCUAAUAUUAGUUGAUGUGGCAUGUGUCCUAUCACAUAAAUGUAGAUAAUAAUAAUUAAUUCAUUAACAAAAUGAAAAAUGUUAGUUUACAAAAUACAAAUCCGAAUUUUUUGUGUGUUAGAGGGAAUUUAAAAGGGAGAGACUAAACAAAUGUGGUGACAAAUUACACGUAUUACCAAAAUUGAAAAUACAAAGUUUAGGCAACUGGAAACAUCUCUGUCAAUGGCAAUGAACCCAUUACCUCCAUUUAUAAUUAACCAAAAAUCAAAUAAAUUAAAAAAGAAAACACAAAGCAAGGAUAACUACUAGUUGUUUUGAUCAUCCCUGCUUCUUUUUCUUAGCAUAGCUCUUGUAAUGAAAAUUAACAAAAAGGGCCAAAAGGGAAGCAUUAAACACAGUAUUGAAGCACCAACCCCAAAACACAGGGAAACCAAAUCCCGUGAAAUGAUAAUUCAGCAUCAAAAUGAAAAAUGUUAUGGAUGGCUGUGAUGGGUCUGAGGAUGUGGGGUCCAAUGAGAGGUGAUGAUGAUGGUGAUGUUGAUGUUGAUGUGUGGUAGAGGAUGGAUGUGAGGGAGAGGUAAGUAAUGAUGGAGUGAAUGAGGAUGCGUGGGAAGGAAGCUAGGGUUUGGUUUUGAGUCCAUGUGAAGUUGAGGACUUGUGGGUGGCUUACAAGCAAUAUUGGAGUGUUAAGCUGAUUGAAUUUGAACAGUGCUACUCCAAUAACAUCAAUAUGGUUGAUGACCGCUCUAUCAAAUCCUUUGGAUAAAUGAAUUGACCGCUCUAAAAUAAAUGAAUGAGAUAGGAUAAAUUCGAAUAAAUUAAUCUGCAUAAUGACACAAGAAACAAAUAUAAAUUGACCGCAAGUAGAAAUAUACUUUUGUUAUAUUUAGAGCAUCUUCCAAUUUCUUUCCCUUGAGCUCUGUUUCUGCGAGUGCUCAAAAGCAAGACACAGGCCUCAAGAUAUAAUUAUCAUCAUCAAUCUUUUGCAGCCACAUGCAGUACUUGGAAAAUGUUUAUGGCCCUAAAUAACUGGAAAAUCAGAAAACAUUAAGAACAAGAGACUAAUCAUUUUAAUCGCAACAAAACAUGCACACUAUGAAAAUAUAAAAUUGAAUUACUUCGAAUGGAUGUGCCUCUUAACAGGAAUUGCACAAGCUAAUGAGCAAGUGAGCCUUCGAAUGAAAAUCUAAAUCCUUGCAGCCUGCGUCAUGCAGCUUCUCCCAAUGAGUAAGUGAACCUUGAACAGUUAUCACUCAGCUCAAACUAAAAUGAAAUUACUGUGGACAUGUGAAUUAAAAAUAGAUGUAAAAGUAGUUUUCUCAAAGCAAAGUCAAGAUAAGAGAUUAACUCUACUCCUUAUUUACAUUAAAAAUAACGAACAAUGGAAAACAGAGCUAGAGAAGAACUUACCUGUGCGUUGAGAUCAUGUGGGGAAUGUGAGAUAUCUUCUUAGAUUUGGUUUGGGAAACUCCAUCUUCUUCUGAAAGUUCUGACAGUUCCCUAAACCCAGGCCAAUACAAUUGCAACAGAAACUGCAUGCUUUAACCAGUAUCUGAUCAUCUCCUGUUAUUUCAAGACAAUAAUAACUUAAUUGCAACACUGCAUGCUUCAACCAAUAACCUUUUCGACUUCAACACUUCUUUUGUCCCCCACCCGAUGCCCUUUUCACAAUUCUAUGAAUCAGAUAAAUCAGCCUUCUUCACAAAACUAAAAUUUCGGUCCCCAUGUAGCAGAGUUUCUUAUUUUUCCUUUGUACACAAAUGCAGACACUUAAGCAAAUUAAGAUUUCUUACCUAAAGCAAAUUAGGAUUUCUUUUGAUCCUGCAAGUUACAAUUUCAGUCCCCAUGUAAUAGUAAAAAUUUGUACACAUAUUUAUAUAGCAAAUUAAUAUUUCAUACCUCACAAUAUUUAUCAUAACCAUCAAUCUUUAGAAACCACAUGCAGACUUGUUAAACUGUUUAUGGCCCAAAAUAACAGGAAAAUUAGAACAGAUUUUUAAGAAUGAGCGACUAAAUAUUUCAAUGGCAACUAAAAUUACACAUCUUGGAAAUCUGAAACUCAAGUACUCAGAACACUGUAAGUGCAUUGCAUAAUCUUGGGUAAAAAAUACACAGCAAUUAAACAAGCUGGGAACUUUAGUGCAAAUGCUUUUUCAUAAUCUUCAAUUGCAUAAGUCAGUUAGAAUCAAUCUUUCUUAAUCUUUCAAUUCACAUAUGAGAGCCUGAUAACACAAGGAAACACUGUAAGUGAAUUGUCAACUGUGACAAAUUUUGGGUAAAAAUUAUCAACUGUAGUUAUCUGCAUAACAUUUAGUGUCAACCCCAAAUUCCUUCCUGAUCCGUGGAAGCAUUUCAGCCCACAGACGGUUAGCUUUGUCAAUAUACGGCAACUCAGGAUUCUAUAUUUAAACUAUGAUGUUUGAUGACUUGCUGAUACAAAAGACAUUGCCCCAAGCACUUUUUUACAUUAGCUAAAAUCAAGCCAGUCACUUCCAUUUGUUGCAGUUUUAAUGCAGAAAGAAAAAAGGGGGAAAAAAAUCUGCAAGAUGCCACUUGUAAUACCGCAUGUUCGCAGGAGCAGAGUUAAAUAAUUACAAAAUUACAUUCUUUAUUGGCCACAAAGCUGCCUAGAAAAAGGCUUUAAAUUCUUAAUGAGACAACGUAUUCGAACAAAUAUGGUGAAUGAAGAGACAAAGGCAUAACACCUCGGGAAGUAAAGCUCUGUUUCUGUAUGUGCUCAAACCAAUGGAAACCCAUGGAAAUGAAUUUCUACGAAUUAGACAUGUCAGCCAAAACAGGUACUCUGUACAAGCAAAGUAAAAGAGAGUUACAAAAAAUUUUAAGAUAAUUAAACUUUUAGUCACCAUAUAAUUAAUAGAAAACUUUGUACACAAUGAUUUAUAUGAGAUUAAGAUUGUAUACCUAAGUUUUAAUUGCAAACUAAAUAUACACAACAUGAUAUUAGCAUUAGAAGACUGCACCAAAACGCACCGAAUUGAAUGUACCUCUUAACGGCCAUUGUACAUGCAUUGAAAGUUUACCGCAAAAGCUGUUUCAAACGUGAUGCAUCUUAGAGAUGCAAGAUGAGAAAUUGUUAUUACAACUAGCAUUGAAACAUGUGUGAAAACUGUUAAUGGACCUAAAUAACUUGAAAAUCAGAAAAGAUUAGGAAUGAGUGACUAAGCCUGCUAAUCGCAACUAAACGUGCAAACCUUGAAAAUCCAAAAUUGUACUCGAUGAAUGUGCAAUUGCUCAAGCAGGUAAAUUUCCUGCAAAGGCUCUUACAAACCCUCAAAGAUGAUACUCUACAUACCAUGGUAACCUGAGUAACAAAAAGAAACACAGUGAAUAUUAAAGGGCAUUCUGACAAUGCAAAUUUGUGUAAAUUAACAACUGCGGUUACCUGCAUAAUAGUGUCAAUACCGAAUUCCUUCCUCCAUGGAAGCAUGUGAUCAGCCCACAUGUGCUUUGCUCUGUAGCUUUUGAAUACCUGAAAUUGUUAUCACAACCAACGGUGAAAAAUGGGUGAAAAAAGGGUAAUAGUAGCAUAAUUGAAUUUGCUUAUAGAGGAUAAACCGAUCAAAGAAAAAAACAAGACAGAAAUGAUGAUCUUAGUACCUUAAUAUCAUGCAAUAAUAAUCAUCAUGCCUUCUAGGCAGCUAUCCAUCCUCAAUUGAAACAGAGCAGACCUGGCCAUCACUUUCUUCUUCAAAGUCCAGCAACUGAACGUUGCACACAACACCACAGUGGAAGUUCCAUCACCAGCCUAAUCCUUGAUUACCCCAAUGUUCUCCAUAGGGUCUUCAAAGUCAACCUAAAAAUAAAAUGAAAAUGCAAUGCAUUAUUAUUAGGGAUCUAGUGCUUGAGCUUGCUUUGACAUCAUGGUAUUAGCAAAUUCUGAUAUAGCCAAAAUGGUGAAUAAGAUGACGUACUUGAUAAGAAAAACCUGAUUUAACAAAUAAUUAAGGAGCCGGUAACAAUCACAGAAUCUCAUCAUGUGGGGAACGCCUUGGCAACAGAAGAUGGUGCUUUCAUUCAAGCAAUAGCAACUUUCCAAUUUCAUAAGGUAGUUUAAUGGCCCUUUUAAGAACAUCUGCACCAGCCUAAUAAUUAUUCAUGGAAAUUAAUAAUCAGAAUCAUGUUAGAUUGAGAGAUGAAACAUAAUAAGCGAUUUGGCCACCAUAUAUGCAUUUAUCACCUUCAAUUUGCUCAUCUUUGUCUAGAGUAUUGCUUCUGCAUUAACUUAAUUAGCUUGCAAGCCACCUGAACAUGGUUUUAAAUAAAGUGUAAGAGCUCGAAUUCGAACGAAUUAAUCAAAUAUGCUGACAGGAGAAACAAAAGUAAAUAACCACAAGAAGUAGAAAUAUACUUUUGUUAUAUUCAGAGCAUCUUCUUGCGUCAAGUUCUUUUCCUUUAGCUCUGUUUCUGUUUGUGCUCAAACGCAAUGGCUCAAGGGCCAAGAUAAUUUUAUGACCAUCAAUCUUUUUGCAGCCACAGCAGACUUGAAAAAAUGAUUGUGGCCCUAAGGAACUUGAAAAUUAGAAAAGAUUCAGAAUGAGUGACUAAAUAUUAUAAUUGAAACUAACUAAACAUUAUAAUCGAAACUAAUUAAACGCCUAGAAAAUCUGAAACUGAGCAAUUGCUUCUGGUGGAAACUUUACUGCAAGGACUUUCUCAAACCCUUGAAGAUCACACUCUACCUGAUAACAAAGAAACAGUCAAUAUACGAAGAUGAUUUUACUAACAAGUGAGUGCUUACACAUAUUGGAAGGAUAAUGAUGAUUCAUAACCCAAAUCCCCAAUACUCCCUAUUAUCUCACUCAAGUUCGAGCUCCCAGAAUUCACUACUGUGAAGCUCUCACAACAAAAUUCCCUUCAAAGAUUCUCUACUCAAAUUUGAUGAUGAUGUCCCUCCAAAGGAGGCAAAAAAUCUAACACUGAUCAAAUUGGUUUGUGAACAAUUAAUCUUCCUGGCCAUCAUGCAUACCAGGUGUGGUGAGCAAUCUUCAUUAUGACAUUUGCCUUAAUAAGCAGCUUAGUUUCCUUAACCUGAUAACUUACACAAACAAAAACAACUUGAUUAAAGUUUAAUAUUUAGAGGCAGAACAGUAAAGAAGAUGAUAUAUAUUGAUACUAAAAUUUGACCUGUGUUAUCCUGACGUCAAGAAUCACAGCAUCUCAUGUGGGCAGAAUCUUCGCAGUACAAUAUGCUUGCAAAAUUGAAGCAGCAUCUUAUCACCUGUAAUUUAAUUAAGACAAUAACUUUCCCCAACCAUUUCAAUGCAUUAUUGCCAACUAAAUUCAGAGGGUGCUAAUUAAAUAGCCUUUGAACAAUAUAUUCUUAUUCUUCUCCAAUCUAACAAUUAUUUCGAAAAUCUAAAUGACAAUCACGCAUCGAUGGCAUCAAAAUUUGGCUACAAAGCAGCCUGGAAAAGGCUUUACUCUCUGAAUGAGAGCAUGAAUUCGAAACAAAUAUGAUGAAUGAAGAAAAUAAGGCAUAAUACCACCAAAAGUAAAACUUUCUCCCAGGGCUCUAUGUUUCUGUUUGUGCUAAAACCAAUAGAAACCGAUGGAAAUGAAUUUCUAGGAAUUAGACAUAUCAGCGAAAACAGGUAUUCUGUACAAGCAAAGUAAAAUAGGGUUACCAAAAUUUUUAAGAUUGAUAUGAUACUUGAAAAAUAGGUUUGCACAGAAUUAAUUAUUCUGUCAUUGAGAUUGUUCUUUUAUAGAGAUUUCCAGCGCACAUAAAACUAUUAAAUCAGUAAACUAAAUCACUGAUUUAAGGAAAGAAUAAUUUCUAGGUAGAUUUUCCUAAAAUACAUAGAUUUGCACCUAAAUAGCUAUGUUACAGCUAAUGACUAAUUUACAGCACAUAUUUUUUCUAAUUUUCUAACACUCCCCCUCGAGCUGGUUUGAAGAUAUCCUCCAUAGCCAGCUUGCCAACUAGAAAAUUGAACUGUUUUGUGUGUAGUCCUUUGGUAAAGACAUCAGCCACUUGUUCUCCAGUAGGAAUGUGCUCCAUAUGAACCAAUCCAUUAUCUAUCUUCUCCUUGAUGAAAUGCUUGUCAAUCUCCACAUGUUUUGUGCGGUCAUGAAGGACUGGAUUGUGUGCUAUUGAGAUUGCUGCCUUGUUGUCACAGUACAACUACAUAGGAGAUGAUUUUGUCGCUUUUAACUCUUCCAACAGCCUCCUAAUCCACAUGAUCUCACAAAUGCCAUGGGUUACAGCUCUAAAUUCAGCCUCAGCACUGCUCCUAGCUACCACAUUCUGUUUCUUGCUUCUCCAAGUAACCAAAUUACCACCUACAAAUGAACAGUAUCCAGAAGUGGAUCUUCGGUCUACUUUGCAGGUAAAUUUACUGCAAAGGCUCUUACAAGCCCUCAAAGAUGAUAUUCUACAUACCAUGGUAACCUGACUAACAAAAAGAAACACAGUGAAUAUUAAAGGGCAUUCUGACAAUGCAAAUUUGUGCAAAUUAACAACUGCGGUUACCUGCAUAAUAGUGUCAAUACCGAGUUCCUUCCUCCAUGGAAGCAUAUGAUCAGCCCACAUGUGCUUUGCUCUGUAGCUUUUGAGUACCUGAAAUUGUUAUUACAACCAGCGGUGAAAAUUGGGUGAAAAAAUGGUAAUAUUAGCAUAAUUGAAUUUGCUUAUAGAGGAUAAACCGAUCAAAGAAAACGACAAGAUAGAAAUGAUUAUCUUAGUACCUUAAUAUCAUGCAAUAAAAAUCAUCAUGCCUUCCAGGCAGCUAUCCAUCCUCAAUUGAAACAGAGCAGACCUGGCCAUCACUUUCUUCUUCAAAGUCCAGCAACUGAACGUUGCACACAACACCACAGUGGAAGUAGUUCCAUCACCAGCCUAAUCCUUGAUUACCCCAAUGUUCUCCAUAGGGUCUUCAAAGUCAACCUAAAAAUAAAAUGAAAAUGCAAUGCAUUAUUAUUAGGGAUCUAGUGCUUGAGCUUGCUUUGACAUCAUGGUAUUAGCAAAUUCUGAUAUAGCCAAAAUGGUGAAUAAGAUGAUGUACUUGAUAAGAAAAACCUGAUUUAACAAAUAAUUAAGAAGCCGGUAACAAUCACAUAAUCUCAUCAUGUGGGGAAUGCCUUGGCAACAGAAGAUGGUGCUUUCAUUCAAGCAAUAGCAACUUUCCAAUUUCAUAAGGUAGUUUAAUGGCCCUUUUAAGAACAUCUGUACCAGCCUAACAAUUAUUCAUGGAAAUUAAAAUUCAGAAUCAUAUUAGAUUGAGAGAUGAAAUAUAAUAAGCGAUUUGGCCACCAUAUAUGCAUUUAUCACCUUCAAUUUGCUCAUCUUUGUCUGGAGUAUUGCUUCUGCAUUAACUUAAUUAGCUUGCAAGCCACCUACAAAUGGUUUUAAAUAAUGUGUGAGAGUGUGAAUUCGAACGAAUUAAUCAAAUAUGCUGACAGGAGAAACAAAAGUAAAUAACCACAAGAAGUAGAAAUAUACUUUUGUUAUAUUCAGAGCAUCUUCUUGCGUCAAGUUCUUUUCCUUUAGCUCUGUUUCUGUUUGUGCUCAAACGGAAUGGCUCAAGGGUCAAGAUAAUUUUAUGACCAUCAAUCUUUUUGCAGCCACAUGCAGACUUGAAAAACUGGUCGUGGCACUAAGGAACUUGAAAAUUAGAAAAGAUUCAGAAUGAGUGACUAAAUAUUAUAAUCGAAACUAAUUAAACAUACACGCCUAGAAAAUCUGAAACUGAACUUCUCAAAUGUAUAUGCCUCUUCGCAGCAAUUGCUUGUGGUGGAAACUUUACCGCAAGGACUUUCUCAAACCCUUGAAGAUCACACUCUACCUGAUAACAAAGAAACAUAGUCAAUAUACGAAGAUGAUUUUACUAACAAGUGAGUGCUUACACAUAUUGGAAGGAUAAUGAUUACUCAUAACCCAAAUCCCCAACACUCCCUAAUAUCUCACUCAAGUGAGUACGAGCUCCCAGAAUUCACUACUGUGAAACUCUUACAACAAAAUUCCCUUUAAAGAUUCUCUACUCAAAUUUGAUGAUGAUGUCCCUCGAAAGGAGGCAAAAAAUCUAACACUGAUCAAAUUGGCUUGUGAACAAUUAAUCUUCCUGGCGAUCAUGCAUACCAGGUGUGGUGAGCAAUCUUCAUUCUGACAUUUGCCUUAAUAAGCGGCUUAGUAUCCUUAACCUGAUAACUUACACAAACAAAAACAACUUGAUUAAAGUAUAAUAUUUAGAGGCAGAACAGUAAAGAAGAUGAUAUAUAUUGGUACUAAAAUUUGACCUGUGUUAUCCUGACGUCAAGAAUCACAGCAUCUCAUGUGGGCAGAAUAUUCGCAGUACAAGAUGCUUGCAAAAUUGAAGCAGCAUCUUAUCACCUGUAAUUUAAUUAAGACAAUAACUUUCCCCAACCAUUUCAAUGCAUUAUUGGCAACUAAAUUCAGAGGGUGCUAAUUAAAUAGCCUUUGAACAAUAUAUUCUAAUUCUUCUCCAAUCUAACAAUUAUUUGGAAAAUCUGAAUGACAAUCAUGCAUCGACGACAUCAAAAUUUGGCUACAAAGCAGCCUGGAAAAGGCUUUACUCUCUGAAUGAGAGCAUGAAUUCGAAACAAAUAUCAUGAAUGAAGAAACAAAGGCAUAAUACCACAAAAAGUAAAACUUUUCCCAGGGCUAUCUGUUUCUGUUUGAACUAAAACCAAUGGAAACCGAUGGAAAUGAAUUUCUAGGAAUUAGACAUAUCAGCCAAAACAGGUACUCUGUACAAGCAAAGUAAAAUAGGGUUACAAAAAAUUUUAAGAUUGAUAUGAUAAUUAAAAUUUCAGUCACCAUAUAAUUAAUAGAAAACUUUGGACACAAUGAUUUAUUGCAUAUUAAGAUUGCUAUAUAAAAUAUAAUAUUAGCAUUAGGAGACCGCACCGAAGCAUACCGAAUUGAAUGUGCCUUUUCACAGCCAUUUUACAAGCUUUGAAGCUUCACCACAAAUGCUUUUUCCAACCCGUGAACAUGGUGCACCCGAGAGAUGCAAGCUAUGAAAUUGUUACUACAGCAAGCGUUGGAACAUUUGUUAAAAAAGGAAGUUUAUGAAAAUACGCCUUUGGAUACCAGUCUUCAGGAAUCAAUUCAUCCGUAAUAACAAUUUUCAAGAAUUAUCAACUGCUUUAAGCUCAUCGACAUCACAAAGAUCUCAACUAAAAUAGAGCAGAUCCGGCCAUCACUAUCCCUUCUACUGCUCUUUUCCUUUAGAGAAUGAUUGAAUUACAGAAUGCGUGUAAGGCAUUCUUAUUCAAGGUCCAAUGAUCAAACCUUGCACUAUAACAACAGAGGUAGUAGUUUCUUCGCCAGCCUAAUCCUUGGUCUCAGGAAUGUCCUCAACAGAGUACUCGAAAUCAACCUAAAAAUUAAGAAUGAGUUGGAAAACUGUUUAUGGCCCUAAAGAACUUGAAAAUAAGAAAAGAUUAAGAAUGAGUGACUAAACAUUUAAUCGCAACUAAACAUACAAACCUUGAAAAUCUAACUUUGAAGUACUCUUGAAUGAAUGAGCAGUUGCACGAGCUGGUGACAACUAAGGUUACUGUGAAGUCUCUUACAAAUCCUUAAAGAUGAUACUUUACAUACCACGAUAACCUGAUAACACAUAGGAACACAAUAAACAUUAAAGUGUAUUCUGACAAUGCAAAUUUGUGGAAAUCAUCAGCUGUGGUUACCUGGACAAUAUUGCCAACACCAAACUCCUUCCUCAAUUGAAACAUAUGAUCAGCCCACAAAUGCUUUGCUUUGUAGCUUUUGAGAGCCUGAAAUUGUUAUCACAACCAACAAUGAAAAUUGGGUGAAAAAAUUGAUAAUAUUAGCUUAAUUCCAUAUGUUUAUAUAGGAUAAACCGAUCAAAGAAUGAAAAAAGAUAGAAACAGAGCAGACCCAGCCAUCACUUUCUUCUUCAAAGUCGCACCAUAACCACAGUGGUAGUCGUUCCACUGCCAGCCUAAUCCUUGGUCACCCCAAUGUUCUCCAUGAAGUAUUCAAAGUCAACCUAAAAAUAAAUAAAAAUGCAAUGCAGGUGGAAAUGAAAAUUCUAUAAAUUAAAUAAAAUAAAAAUGCAAUGCUUGAGCUUGAGCUUGCUUUAGCAUCAUCGUAAUAGUAAAUUUUGAUAUAUCUUUACUUCUCUGUUCUUGUUUAUUCACAACAAGAUAUCAAUAGAAGAAGAUGGAAAUGAAAUUCUAUAAAAUAAAGCAAGUGAAUUACCAACAGAACAUUUUAGCAAUCCUUUGGCUAAACUUUUCAUUUUCUUAGCAUACUCUCCUGCCUGGUGAACAUAAUUAAACAAGUAUGAAAUAAAACAAAGUGGGCUAAUGUAGUAAAAACAAUAACACAAUUACUUUAAAGAAUUAAUGUCACGUAUAUUAUAUAUAAAAAAAUACGAUUAUCAUUAUAUAAGAUAAAAUUGAUAAUUUAGUUUUCAACAUUACUGCAAACGUAUCACAGAGAUUUUGUUACACAUAACAAAUUUUCGUACAUAUGAAAAUAAAUUACAUUGCAUGAAAUUUUACAAAAGAGCACAUAUUUUUUAAAAGUAAAUAAAUAUAGAAAUUUCAACAGACUACACUUGUAUUUUUUUUUAAUUAUUUAAUCUUUAGAAAACAAGUUUAACAGAUUUGAUAACUAGGAAGUUUUACGUAUUUAUACCAUGAUUGAUUCUAUAUAGAAUUUUAAUUCAAAAUAUAAUUAUUUUUAUUAAUUUCAUUGCAAGCAACAACGAAGUAAAUUAGAGGAGGAGGAGAAAUUACCGGCGAGUGAUAAAUUACCGCGACCACUUGAUGUGGGGAAUGCGAGAUAUCUUAUGCCAGUCUUCUCCUUUCCCCUCUCUAUAACGGUUUUCCAGAAGAGGACAUCUGUCAAUAGUCAAUUCCUGCAGCGUCGUCGUCCGAAGAAGGUAAUCCGGCAGCACCUUUAAUUUGGGGCAAUACUCAAUUACCAAGGAAGAAAGACGUGGUAUGUCUGUUGUCCUGUGAUCUUCUAGAAUGGGCAGUUCUUCCAUAUUUGCACAAAAAGAAAUCCUCAGUUUCUGCAGUGCCGUCGUUCGAAGAAGGUAAUCCGGCAGCGCCUUCAAUUUGUUGCAAGAACGAACUUCCAAGGAAGAAAGACGGGGCAUGAUAGAGAUGUUUUCCUUCCUCGUAAUCCUGUAAUUCCACUCUUCCAAUUCUUCCAUGUCCCAAAUUAUGAGUGAUUUCAAUUUGGGGAAGGCAGUAACUGAUGAUGAUGAUGAAGAUGAAGACGGGCCAUCCUCACUGCUUUCUUCUAUUCCCAAAAACUCAUUACCCACUCUUUUUACACUUUUCAAGUACCAUAGUUCGAGUUUUUCCAGAGGCAAUUUUCCCAAAGGAGGCAAAUGCUCACACUUAAGGCACGAGCGAAGAUAUAAAUUCCUUAGAUUGGUCAGUGAAGUCAACCAUUUGGGAAAAAUGUUGCGUCCAUAUAAUAUAAUCCCUAAUUUCUCUACACUCAAAGGCGGUUGUAAGGCUUUAAGAAGUUGUUCAUCUUUCUCUUUCUUCCUCCUCCUUUCUUCAUCUUCCCCAUCUACGACUCUACCAAACUCAAGACGCAAACGAAGGAGGUUUUGCUGAUUGUAAAGUUGUAAUCUCUCGACCUCAUCUAAACGGGACACAUUACCCAGCCCUUCAAUUCCACAUUCUCGAAGGAGUUGAAGAUUUUUCAGAGAUUCAAGCCUACAAGUAUUGCUACCAUCAACACCUCCACCCACCACAAACUUGUCUAAUGUUCGAAGACUGGUUAAUUUGGAAAUCCCUACUGGCAUGUAUUUCAACGAAUAAGUUUCAGCAUUCAGUAAACUCCUCAUGUUCUUUAACUUCCCAAUCCCCGCUGGCAAUUCUUUAAGAUUUCGGCACCGCCUAAUAUCUAGCUUUUGUAAAUUAUAUAAUUCACACAAAGUCUUAGGUAGUCUCUCUAUGCCUAAUUCAGACAAAUUAAGAUAUCUUAAAUGUAUCAAUUUUCCGACAUUUUUUGGAAUUUCUCUAAUCAAACUUGAGUGAAGACGAACAGGCGAGGAUGAUAGCCUUAUAACUAAUGAUUCCCUUAUAACUAAUGCCCUCAAACAUGCCAAUUUACUAAAUAACUUUCGAGUUUCUCUAAUCUUAUAUGUGUUUGGACAAAAACAUAGGCGCAACAGCCUUAUAACUAAUGCCCUUAAACAUUCUUUGCUACUACUAAAAGACGAAAGGAUGCUACUAAGAGACAGAUUGAAAUCACUUCUAUCAUAAAUUAAAAGGGUACGCAAUCUAUCAAGUCCACGAAUGGAUAUAGGAAAUGAAGUGCCUCUUUGAAAAUUUAACCCUAAGUGACGGACUUUGUCACCAAAAGAGUUUAUGACUGAGUCUUUGGUACCAUUAAUUUCUACCCACAAACAUUCUUUUCUACUUACAAAUUGGGCAAAAUCAUGUAUUAUGUCAUGCAUCUUGCAGCUCAUAAUAUCAUCAUCAUCAUCUUUUUUAAACUCUUGAAAGAAAGAGCGUGCUGCUAAAAUGUUGAAAUACUCUUCCCCAAUCAUCUCCAUCUCUUCGUCUUCUUCUGUAUUAAGAUAACCUUGAGCCAUCCAUAGUGAAAUUAGUUCCUCUUUAUUCAUAUUGUAGUUUUUUGGAAAGACAGCACAAUAUGAGAAACAUUGUUUUACCAUAGAAUUGGAGGGCAAAUCGUUAUAACUCAACAACAAAGGAGCUAAAAGACCUUGCCCAAUUGCUUCUACUUUCCACAUUUCACUCUCUAAAAUUCUUUGCCACUCUUUUACUGUACUUUUAGAGCGCAAGAGAUUCCCUAUUACCUUUGCAGCAAGAGGCAGGCCUUUGCACUUAUGUGCAAUUUUGCGCCCGAUUGGUUCUAAUUUUUCACGAUCCUCAAAGGACCUACGUAGAAAUGCCAUCUGCUUAAACAGUAACCAACAUUCCCCUUCUCCCAACUCCUUGACAGGGAUAAUAUCUAUUGAUCCCAACUGUAGUGCAACUGACCUAUCACGUGUGGUAAUUAGAAUUUUACUUUCAUGGUGGCCAUUCUUUAGACAAGAAAAGAAUGGGUCCCAUUUUUUGUAAUCUACAUCCCACACAUCAUCUAAAACAAGAAAAAACUUUUUUCCUUCAAUUGAUGUAUGGAUAUGGCUCAUAAGAGAUUGGAAUUCGCUUAAAUCAUAAGCUUCUUUUGACUUGCCUAGACCUUCAAUGAUUGCUUUGGCAACCCUAAUCCUCUCAAAAGUGUCUGAUACACACACCCAUAUAACUUUUUCAAAAUUUCUUUUCACCUCAUCAUUAUUAUAGGCCAGUUGUGCAAGAGUGGUUUUACCUAUACCCCCUAACCCAACUAGUGAGAUGAUAUGAAGGCCUUCUUGUUGUUCACUACUUUGACACAACAACUUGCUUAAGAGCUCAUCUUUCUCAUUAACUCUACCGCAAACCUCUCCCUCAUCAAUCAAGGAGGUGGUUCGCACUCGCUCUGGUUUCUUGACAUUGUUACUCACAUUCUCAACAAAUUUAAACAUAUCUUUUCGAGUGGCAAUACCAUCUAGCUUUUCAUUGAUUUCCCUAAUCUUGACAGCAAUGUCAUGACGAAGACUGAGUUGUUUGAAACUGCCACAGCAGUUUGAUACAGCACAAAAGAAGGAACGUACCUUCUUCUUAUGAACGCCCUCAAUCUGCAAUUUGAGCCUUGCAGUGGUCCACUCCUCCAACACAUCUUCCAUGUCGUAAGAUGCGUCUUUGAGCUGAUCCAGCCAAAAAGUAACAUCUUUCUCGUGCUGCAUUUGCCUUUUCUCUGCAUCUUCCAGCACAAGUUGAAUGGCUUGUAGAUUGCUGGUGAGCUUUUUCACUUCUUCGUCGACACCAGUAACAAGCCUCACCUGUUGUUUCAGUUCAUCAGUUGCAACUGAGCUCAGCUGCUCCAGGAGAGAGGAAACGAUCGCAUCAACCAUUCUGACAAAGAAGAUGAGAAUUCUGAAGAGUUAUUAGAUGUGCUUUUGUUGCGAAGAUAUGAAAGAAAGGAGUUAUUGCAUUCUUUUAUACUGCAUAGAAAAGGUUUAUGCUUAUCCCCACCCCACACGUCAAUGAUUGUAGAAUGUUUAAUUUCCCUGAUUCUACUCCACUAGUUGUGAUGCGUAAUUAUAAAUAUUCUCAAGUUAUGUAUGAAAAUCCCACAAAUUUGGAUCUAGUAAUGAUUUUUAUGUAUUUUUUCAUAAUCUUCUAAAAUACUAUAUCUGCAUGUUAUUUCGUGCAGAAAUAUGGCAUUGGGUGAAAAAAGUUAUGCUUAUCCCCACCCACACGUUAGUAAUUGUAGUAGCAUCUGUAAUUUCCAUGAUUCUACUCCACGGACGAACACAUUUUUUGUACUAACAUCUUUAAAUUCCCACACGUUAGGAAUUUGGCACAUAAUCUCAAACUCGUCGCAUCUUUAACGUAUGAGGUUGAUGAAUAAAUUCUUUUCUCAUAUCAAUUUAAAACUCCGAGAUUAUGUGCCAAAUUCCUAACGUGUGGGAAUUUUACCUCCUAAGUAAUCCGGCCCACUGCCAAGUGCCAACUUUUUCUCUGUCGAGUUAAUGAUGUUGUUUUGUUUUCCUUGUUUUAAUUAAUGUUGCGGAGAGAAACAGAUCGAUGCAAAUGGCUAGCCAGGUUUUGCAGAAACCGUGAAUGGUCUUGCAUGCAUGUGACAUAAAGCUUUAUAUAUAGCUUAUUCCUCCAUCAACAUUUCAAUGGUUCCAUCUCACGUGCACUUGGCUAUGAAUAAGGUCCAUGCAUGGAUCGAUCGAUUUAGGAGUUUGGACCAUCUCAUGCUGCAGAGUUAUGUGUCAUGUAUGUGUGUUGACACUUGCCAGUUCAUUUUUGUUAUAAAGAUUAUUGAUACUCGUAAAUGUACUACUUACAAAUCAUAAAUUUUGAGUUUGACACUUUAGUUUCAUUUUGUAAUCCCUACGCUCUUUAAAUAUUUGUAAUAAUAUAUUUCAAACUUUAACUCAGACGUAAUGAAUGAAGGGGGAUCCUCUUCUUAUAUAAAUUUUUAUUUUUUAACGUUCAAGUUACAUUUGAUUACGUGUACUUAUUAUCUAGUUUUGACUAUCUAAUGACAUUUGAUUACGUGUACUUAUUAUAUGAUUUUUUUUUAAAUGAUGGGUCUGGUGAGAUUUUUUACAUCUUGGAUUAGUAGGUCAAGAACGGGCAGGGCAGGGCCUUCUCUGAAGUCAAUCUUGUGAGCAACACCAGCUUUUUGGAUAAUUGGCAGCCCCAAUUCAUAAUUUUCUCAGUUGAUGUCCAUGGCCAAAAUCUGCAACCGAAGCUUAUUCUACUCUUAUUAAUCGAGAGAUAAUUUUAUCUCUAACUAAUUUAAUUGGGAGGAAAAUUGAGAGAGAUAUCCACUCUGUCCUUAUUAAUUGAGAGAUAAUUUUACCCUUACCCAAUUUAAUUGGAAAGGAAAUCGAAUUCCAACAAUAACUAGGACUUGAAUCCAUGCACUUAAGCUAACUUUAAGUUUUAGGAUGCAUGGUUAUAAUGUUCUUUAUUUAAAUCCUAACAAAUGGUGGGACUUGAACUUGUGCCUACAAACAUUGAGUGCUUAGGGGCUGCAAAAUUUCAUAACUUAAUUUUAGUUGAUGUGGUAUGUGCCCUAUCACAUAAAUAUGUAGAUAAUAAUAAUUAAUACAUUAACAAAAUGAAAAAUAUUAGUUUACAAAAUACAAAUCCAAAUUUUUUGUGUGACAAGGGACUUAAAAGGGAGAGACUAAACAAAUGUGGUGAAAACGACAUGUAUUACUAAAACUAAAAAUACGAAGUCUAGGCAAUUGAAAACAUCGGGUUUUUUAUUUAAAUAUCCCCAAUUUGUCCUUAAAUACCAAAUUUAUACCCUAUUAUAUACAUAUACCUCACGAAGAUAGGGAAAAUAAAAAAUAACCUUAAAAAAAUCAAGAAUCCACACAUUUCUUCCUCUCAGUGCAGGAAGAUGUCGAGUACGAAGUCGGGUAAGUCGAGAAUUUAGUCGAGCAAGAAUUGGAGAUAAGUAAGUUGAGUAUAUGGUCCAGUAGGAAGUUGAGUAAGCAUAUUAAAUGAGUCCAGUAUUAAGUGGUAGAGUAUUAAGUAAAAGUCAAGUAAAUUUUUUAAACAAGUCAAAUAAAAUUUAUGUAAUUUUUAAAGAGGUUGAGUAUUAAGUCGGGUUAGUACAUUGGGUCGAGUGUUAAUAUUUUUAAAGAAGUGAAGUCUGGUAAGUUGAGCAUUCAGUCGAGUAAGAAGUUAAGGCAAUUGAAUAAGUCGAGUCUCUAGUCGAGUACGAAGUCGGGUAUAAAGUCUGGUAAGUUGAGCAUUCAGUCGAGUAAGAAGUGAAGGCAAUUGAAUAAGUCGAGUGUCUAGUCGAGUACGAAGUUGGGUAUGAAAUCUGGUAAGUUGAGCAUUCAGUCGAGUGAGAAGUGAAGGCAAUUGAAUAAGUCAAGUAUCUAGUCGAGUACGAAGUCGGGUAUGAAGUAUGGUAAGUUGAGCAUUCAGUUGAGUAAGAAGUGAAGGCAAUUGAAUAAGUCGAGUACGAAGUCGGGUAUGAAAUAUGGUAAGUUGAGCAUUCAGUCGAGUGAGAAGUUAAGGCAAUUGAAUAAGUCGAGUAUCUAGUUGAGUACGAAGUCGGGUAUGAAGUUUGGUAAGUUAAGCAUUUAAUCGAGUAAGAAGUGAAGGUAAUUGAAUAAGUCGAGUAUCUAGUUGAUUACGAAGUCGGAUCUGAAGUCUAGUAAGUUGAACAUUCAGUUGAGUAAGAAGUGAAAACAAUUGAAUAAGUCGAAUAUCUAGUCGAGUAAAAAGUCGAGUAAGUAGAUUGAAUGAGUAGGGUAUUAAUUUUUUGUUGGCAUUUUAUUGAGGCUAUUUUUGUACUUUCUUUGGUUUUUUAAGUAUGUAUAUGCAAAGUACAGAUUUUAAUAGAUGGAUGUAUAUUUUGGGUAUUACGAGAGAAACGGGGUAUAUCCCACGCAAUUCCUUCGAAAACAUCUCUGUCAAUUGCAAUGAACAGAUCACAACCCUUCAUAAUUAAACAAAAUCAAACUUGAAAAAAAAAAUCACACACACACACACAAAACAAUCACAAAAACUAUUUGUUCUGAUCAUCCCUGCUUUUUUUUAGCGUAGCUCUUGGAAUGAAAAUUAACAAAAAGUGUCAAAAGAGAAGCAUUAAACACAGCAUUGAAGCACCAGCCCAAAAUCCCAGAGCAACCAAAUCCCGUAAAAUGAUAAUACAGCAUCAAAACCGAAACAACAAAACUAAACACAAACUGAACAAUCUAACAAUCAGUGACCAAUCUCUUCCACUUUGGCCGCAACCCCAUCACACACAAUAGAUAGUACCCGUACAUGAUCACAUGCACACUUGCAUUAGUCACAAGUGCAAUAGGAAACAAAGACUGCUUCGUCUGUAACCAAAGGUAGCACAUUACGACGACGGUUGCAUGGUGGUAGACGUGGAGGAACGUGAGCCAUUGGAUGGAUUUUGACAAAAUGAUCAAAAGGGUGUCUAAGAAUUCGAGUAUUUUGGAGAGGUAGAAGAGGUAAGCGUAGAAGAAGAGGGGGCCAGACGGAGAAAUGGUGGGGGGGAAACAGAGGGUGUAAUGGAGGUGGGGCAAAUGGACGAUGAUGGAGAGAGUGCAGCCAACGGCCAUGAUGAGGGAGAGGAGGAGGAGGGUGAGGUUAUGGACGGCUGUGAUGGGCUUGAGGAUGUGGGGUCCAAUGAGAGGUGAUGAUGAUGGUGAUGUUGAUGUUGAUAUGUGGUAGAGGAUGAAUGUGAGGGAGAGGUAAGUGAGGAUGGAGAGAAUGAGGAAGUGUGGGGAAGAAGCUAGUGUUUGGUUCUGAGUCCAUGUGAAGCUGAGGAUUUGGGGGUGGUUUACAAGACAAUAUUGGAGUGUUGAGGUGAUUGAAUUUGAAGCCAUGGCUAGUUUUUGGGGGAAGAAAGAUUUUGGAAGAGAUGAUGUUGAGAUGAACGGGGGAGUUUAUAAAGUUUUGGGAUAAUGUGGAGGGUAUUUUGGACAUAUUGUUGUCUCAGCUUAAAUUUUGGGAAAAAGAUGAUCAAUAAGAAGCUCUUUUUUUCAUAUCAAUUUAAAACUCCGACGGUGUUUCCAAAAAUUGUUUUUCUUUUUCCGUUUUUUAAUUUUAAAUCAUAAAUUUAGUAAAAGAAGUUGAAUCAAGUGAUCACUUUUUUUUUAAUGUAAAACAAUUAAUUUCUUUUGUGAUUUAAGCAAAUAUUGAGUUGCAUACUUUAAAUAUAUUAAUAUUUGAUUCGAAAUUUCAUCUACCGAAACUACAAAAAUUAAUAUUUUCUAUUAAAUCAAAACCAAAAUUAAAGAUGACUCCUUGUCUGCCAACUGUCAUUAAACAAAGCCAUCACUCACGUGAAAAAAAAAAGUGAUAUAUUCAUUUUAACGUAAUUUCAUACCAACAUAUCAUUCUUUUUUUUCCAAUAAUGACCUCUUUAAUUAUAAAAUAUGGUAAAAGGGGAUGGGUUCGAGGUAUGGCGUCCGGGCCUUUGUGACAACGGUAUCUUUGGACGUGGGUGUCGUUAGAUUUUUGGCUAUUUUCUGGUCAAUCAAACUGGUGGAUCACAUGCAUUUUAAUGACCUCUUUAAUUAUAAAAUAUGGUAAAAGGGGAUGGGUUUAAGGAAUGGCGUCCAGGCCUUUGUGACAAAGUUGGAUGUGGGUGUCAUUAGACUUUUGGCUAUUCUGCUCAAUCAAACUCGUGGAUUACAUGCACUCAACGCGGACAUUAUGGAAAUGGGAGAAAAUUAUGUUAGUAAUAGCAUCUUCAAAAGUUUCUAUACAUUUUACUCUUUAAAUAUUUAUUUACUUAUUUAUAUGAUAAAUAGAAAGGUAAAAAAAUAUAUUAUUCUCCAAAAAACUCUUCAAAUAAAAAUAAGUUAAUAUUAUUUUAAUCAAAUAAUUAUUUUUUAAAGGAAAAGUUAACAGCAAUUAAAGCACUUCUCUUUCUCUCUCUAAUAAAAAGUAAUAAAAUAUUAAUUGAAGUGUUUUUUAGAACCUUAAAUGUUGAUGUGACUCUUCAAAUAAGUAAUAAAAUCUUAAUUGAAGAGCCUUUUGGUGAUGGUUUAAAACCCACUGUUUCGUUCUAAACUAAGUGAAUUUAUCUCGUGAGCUAAGUAGUUUAGGAGAUAACUCAAAUAAUUAACUUUUUAUUAGUUUAAUAAUAAGAAUUUUCGAUUAUAUUUUAAAAGUAUAAUUCAUUACAAAAAAUUACUUAAUAAAAAUAACUGUUAUUUAACAUAUUACAUUUUUUCAAUAAUAAAAUAAUUCAAAUUUUUAAUUAUUAUAACAAAAAAAUUUGUAAUAUAAUCCAUUCAUAUACCACAUCACGUAAAAUGUAACCUAGUACUACAUGUAAUCUUGUUACUACUAUUCCUAUAAUAUUCUACCACAUCAUAUACUAUCAAAUUCCAUCCGGCAUGCCAAAUGUGCAAAGUUUGAGUAAGACUUGUUAAAGUUGAGUAACAUCUUAUAUGGCCAAGCGCAUUGAGUAUGGAUUUGCAUGAUCGAGUGAGUACAACUAAAGUCGGGUAGAGUCUGGAAAAUCCCUAUAAUGUUGAGGUUGGAGAACUAUACUUUUUAAGGUACAUAAUUAAACAAUUUUGGUAAAUAUUUACUAUUAUAACUUAAAAAUUAAUUUGAUUUGAUCUCAUAUAUUAUUAUAAUAAAAAAACUUAUAAUAUCUUUAUUAAUUUUAUUAAAAAUUAUUAUUUAGAAGUCAUAUAUUUAUUACACAUUGUCAAAUUUCAGCUUUUUGUUUUUAACAACAGCUAGUAAUAUCAAACAAGACCUAAGUUGAGUAUGAUCAAUUAAUUAAAAUUAUGAUUUUUUUUUGUAUAAAAUAAUCAUUAGAUAAUUAGUCUGUAAAGAAUAUCGGCUACUUCAAAUGGAAACUUGCGAUAAAAAAUGCAUCACAAAAGUAACAAUGACACACUAUAUAAGAAAUCUGAAAUAGAAUUUGCAAAAUUGAACUGAGUUACGGAGAGUAAAUAAGACUCCAAAGGAACAUGGCAAUUAUUAUUAUCUAGGAAACAAUUCAUAGCUAAAACAAAAUUAACUAUACUUGCCAGGAAAUAUGGCGAAUUCCACCACCUCCUACAAGUUCUUAGGUGUCUUAGAGUUUGAUGACGACUUCCAUGCUGUGUCUCUUCGACAGGCAGCAAAAUUGGGCAAUUGACUACAUUAACUCCAAGAAAUUUAUGCAGUCACCUUCCUCCGGACUAUCCUCUUUCUUUGAGCUUUGGUUGCCCCUAUUUCCCCUUCAAUAGAGUCAUCACUGUUUUGUUUGAAGCCAAGGAGCCCAAGAUCAGAAAAAUGGCAUUCUUUGGUAUCAAUCCCUCGAUCCCCAAGUCACGUCACUAACUUUCUGUUGAUCGCGUAGCUAGUUCAUGUAUGCCACAGCAGCGGAAGGUAGCCUGAAGAAGAAAAAACCUCUCUCUCUUUCUUGCUCAGUAACCACCUGGGCACUUUUGUGCUGAGCCAUGACAUCCUGAGAUGGCCUGUUGUGUAAGCCUUCUUCAAAAGGUCAUCUGUCGAUCUUUCUCCUAAUUAGACAUCCAAAACCCAGCAUGGAAUCCAUUUGAGAAGGUGGACAAUAGACAAACUCCAACGCAUACAGACAGUAAAGAAGAAUUUAGACCGCAAUCACUGUGGCUGAAUAAAUGGGCCUAUUAAGCCUAUUAAAAGUUGGAACCAUAUUCACCACUCGCAGUUCCUUAGAGAACUUUAUCAGAAUUCUGAAAAUUUAAAACUAUUCUUACAUAUUUAACUGUAAAACAAGAGAAAUUGUACUUCCGUAGCAAAGUCUCACUAUUGGUAAGUAUCUGGACUUGGAAAGGAUGCUAGUUGAUUAAGUAAAGGAAAAUUGAAAUCAGACUUUGAGGUGAUAGAUCUAUAUACACUUUAAUCGGAACCACAUUAACAUCAUAUGAGCCAAACAAACAAAUUCCCCAGUCAAAGUUCAACAAACAAAACAUUAAAACAAGAGUAAUUUGGUGUAUCAAUGUAUAUAUAGAGAUGUCGAUCAUUGACAAAUACGUAAAAGAGGGAGGGAGAGACCUCAAAGCCGUGCUUAACAACAUUGCUACUCCAAUAACUUCAAAAUGGUUGGCGACGUCUCUAUCAAAGCCACACAAUAGCUGAUAUCUCAUGUUUGCAUGUAGUCCAAUGAAAGCACCAUAACCAAGAACAUUAGUACUCACAGAUGGGUUUGUCACAGAUAACCUGUCAGGCAAUAAAAAUUGCCCAAAUUAAACAAAUGUUAGACCGGCUUAGACAGUAAACGGAACAAUAUUCUAAUUUUACUUUAUUUAUAACGAAUAAGUGAACAAAGGAAUGAAAAGGAAGUUUGGCAACAGUCUUUUUACCAGCCAGAUAGUUUGACAAAGAAUCUUGCACUGCUCCUGCAGCUAAUCCCACCAUACACAACUCUGCAGUCUUGUUUGGGAGUCAAAAUUCUCAAAAUGGGUAACUCUGUUCAAAUAUACUGUUUGGGAACUUUUGUAAUGUAUUUUGCAAGUCAAACAGGAAGGUAUUUCCAUAAGAAGGUUCACUUCACAUGCUCAACAAUUCAAAUUUGCGGAUGAUAUUUCUCAAAAUGGAGGGCUCUAUUUGGCUUGCCAACAAUCUUCCUCACCAUUAUCAUCCUUGCUAUACCGGUUAAACUGAACAGUCUUCAUUCUGACAUUUGCCCUAUUAACCUGAGUACACAAGAAUCCGAAACAACUGUUAGAAAUUAUAAUCUUUAUAUAUAGCCAAAAUGUUGAAUAAGAUGAUGUACUUGAUAAUAAAUACCUGAGUUAAUAAAUAAUUAAGGGGCCGGUAACAAUGUCAGCAUCUUAUCAAGUGGGGAAAGCCUACGCAACGAAGAUGCUGCCUGCUUUCAAGAAAUAAUAACUUUCCAAUUCCAUAAGGUAGGUUAAUGCCCUUUUAAAAAUAUCUCCACCAGCCUAACAAUUAUUCAUUGAAAUGUGUGAGUGUGAAUUCGAACGAAUUAAUCAAAUAUGAUGACACGAGAAAGAAAAUUAAAAUAACCACAAGAAGUAGAAAUAUACUUUUGUUAUAUUUAGUGCAUCUUCUGUGUGUGCUCAAACGCAAUGCCUCAAGGCGCAAGAUAAUUUUAUGACCAUCAAUCUUUUGCAGCCAUAUGCAGACUUGAAACAUUGGCGGUGGUUCUAAGGAACUUGAAAAUUAGAAAAGUUUCAAAAUGAGUGACUAAAUAUGAUAAUCGAAAUUAAUUAAAUAUACACGCCUUGUAAAUAUGAAACUAAAUUACUCAAAUGUAUGUGCCUCUUCGCAGCAAUUGCUCGUGGUGGAAACUUUACUGCAAAGACUUCCUCAAACCCUUGAAGAUCACACUCUUCCUGGCAACAAAGAAACAGAGUCGAUAUACGAAGAUGAUUUUACUAACAAGUGAGAGCUUGCAAAUAUUGGAAGGAUAACGAUUGCUCAUAACCCAAAUCCCCAAUACCCUCUAAUAUCUCACUCGAGUGAGUUCAAGCCCCCAAAAUUCACUACAGUGAAACUCUCGAAACAAAAUUCUCUUCAAAUAUUCUCAACUCAAAUUUGAUAAUGAUAUCUCUUGAAGGAAGGCAAAAAAUCUAACACUGAUCAAAUUGGCUUGUGAACAAUUAAUGUUCCUGGCCAUCAUUCAUACUAGGUGUGGCGAACAAUUAAGCUGCUUAGUAUCCUGAACCUGAUAACUUACACAAACAAAAACAACUUGCCUAAAGUUUAAUAUUUAGAGGCAGAACGGUAAAGAAGAAGAUAUAUAUUGAUACUAAAAUUUGACUUGCGUUACCCUGAUGUCAAGAAUAGCGGGAUCUCAUGUGGGCAAAAUCUUCGCAAUACGAGAUGCUUGCAAAAUUGAAGCAGCAUCUUAUCACCUGUAAUUUAAUUAAGAUAAUAACUUUCCCCGACUAUUUCAAUGCAUUAUUGGCAACUAAAUUCAGAGGGCGCUAAUUAAAUACCCUUUUAACAAUAUCUUCUUAUUCUUCUCUAAUCUAGCAGUUAUUUGGAAAAUCUAAAUGACAGUCAUGCAUCAAUGGCGUCAAAAUUUGGCUACAAAGCAGCCUACAAAAGGCUUCACCCUCUGAAUGAGAGCAUGAAUUCGAAUAAUAUGAUGAAUGAAGAAACAAAGGCAUAAUACCACAAGAAGUCAAACUUUUCCCCAGAGCUCUGUUUCUGUUUGUGCUAAAGCAAAUGGAAACCAGUGGAAAUGAAUUUCUAUGAACUAGACAUAUCAGCCAAAACAGGUACUCUGUGCAAGCAAAGUAAAAAAGAGUUACAAACAAAUUUAAGAUUGAUAUGAUAAUUAAAAUUUCAGUCACCAUAUAAUUAAUAGAAAACUUUGUACACAAUGAUUUAUUGCAUAUUAAGAUUGUAUACCUAAAUUUUAAUUGCUAUGCAAAAUAUGAUAUUAGCAUUAGGAGACCGCACCAAAACGUACCGUAUUGAAUGUGCCUUUUCACAACCAUUGUACAAGCUUUGAAGCUUUGGCACAAAUGCUUUUUCAAACCCAUGAACAUGAUGCACCCGAGAGAUGCAAGAUAUGAAAUUGUUACAACAGCAGGCAUUGAAACAUUUGUUAAGAAAGGAAGUUUAUGAAAAUACGCCUUAACAUUCAUUAGAUACAUGUCUUCAGGAAUCAAUUCAUCUGUAAUAACAAUUUUCAAAGAGCAUUAACUGCUUUAAGCCCCUCAACAUCACAGAGAUCUUCAAUUAAAAUAGCGCAGAUCCGGCCAUCACUAUUACUUCUACUGCUCUUUCGCUUUAGAGAACGCUUGAAUUACAGAAUGCAUGUAAGGCUUUCUUGUUUAAGGUCCAGCAAACCUUGCACAAUAACAACAGAGGCAGUGGUUCCAUUGCCAGCCUAAUCCUUGGUCUCACCAAUGUUCUGCACGAGUAGGAAAUCAACCUUAAAAUUAAGAAUGAGUUGCAAAAACUGUUUAUGGCCCUAAAGAACUUGAAAAUCGGAAAUGAUUAAGAAUGAGUGAGUAAACAUUUUAAUCGAAUAAACAUACAAAACUUGAAAACCUAACAUUGAAGUACUCUGAAUGAAUGUGCAAUUGCACGAGCUGGUGACAACUGACUUUACUGCAAAGGCUCUUUCAAACCCUUGGAGAUGAUAAAAAUAAAAAUGCAAUGCUUGAGCUUGAGCUUGAGCUUGUUUUAACAUCAUCAUAGUAGGGAAUUUUGAUAUAUCUUUACUUCUCUGUGGUUCAAUCAUUUACUUCUCUGUUCUUGUUUAUUCACAACAAGAUAUCAAUAGAAGAAGAUGGAAAUGAAAUUCUAUAAAAUAAAGCAAGUGAAUUACCAGCAGAACAUUUUAGCAAUCCUUUGGCUAAACUUUUCAUUUUCUUAGCAUACUCUCCUGCCUGCAUCAUUAAAACCAAAUUAGAUUGGACCUGUGAAUUGCUAGUGUGGUUCUGACAUUUCCUCGAAUCCCUGGUGAACAUAAUUAAACGCGUAUGAAAUAAAACAAAGUGGGCUAAUGUACUACUAAAAACAAUUACACAAUUACUUUAAAGAAUUAAUGUCACAUAAAUUAUAUAUAAAAAAAUAAGAUUAUCAUUAUACAAGAUAAAAUUGAUAAUUUAUUUUUCAACAUUACUGCAAAUGUAUUACAGAGAUUUUGUCUCUCAGGAAGUUACACAUAACAAAUUUUCGUACAUUAAAAAAUAAAUUACAUUGGGAUUUUCUAUGAUGUUGUAUGCAAUUUUACAAAAGAGCACAUAUUUUUUAAAAGUAAAUAAAUAUAGAAAUUUAAACAGACUACACUUGUAUUUUUUUAUUAUUUAAUCUUUAGAAAACAAGUUUAACAGAAUUGAUAACUAGGAAGUUUUACAUAUUAUUUCAUUGCAAGCAACAACGAAGUAAAUCAGAGGAGGAGGAGAAAUUACCGGCGAGUGAUAUCUUACGGCUACCACGUGAUGUGGGGAAUGUGAGAUAUCUUCUCCUUUCCCCUCUCUAUGACGGUUUUCCAAAAGGGGACAUCCCCAAAUUGUCAAUUUCUGCAGCGUCGUCGUUCGAAGGAGGUAAUCCGGCAGCACCUUUAAUUUGGGGCAAUCCCCAAUUAGCAGGGAAGAAAGACGUGGUAUGUCUGUUGUCCUGCGAUCUUCUAGAAUGGGCAGUUCUUCCAAAUUUUUACAAGAAUAAAUACUCAGUUCCUGCAGCGUCGUCGUCCGAAGAAGGUAAUCCGGCAGCACCUUUAAUUUGGGGCAAUGCUCAAUUUCCAAGGAAGAAAGACGUGGCAUGAUGGAGAUGUUUUCCUUCCUCGUAAUCCUGUAAUUCCACUCUUCCAAUUCAUCCAAGAACCAAAUUUUGAGAGAUUUCAAUUUGGGGAAGGCAAUAACUGAUGAUGACGAUGAAGAUGAAGAUGAGUCGUCCUCACCGCUUUCUUUUAUUCCCAAAAACUCAUUACCCACUCUUUUUACACUUUUCAAAUUGCAUAGGAUGAGUUUUUCCGGAGGCAAUUUUCCCAAAGGAGGCAAAUGCUCACAGUUAAAACACAAGGAAAGAUAUAAAUUCCUUAGAUUGGUUAGUAAAGUCAACCAUUUGGGAAAAAUGACGCCUCCAUAGGAUUCAAUCCCUAAUUCCUCUACAUUCAAAGGCGGUUGUAAGGCUUCAAGAAGUUGUUUAUCUUUCUCGUUCUUCCUCCUCCCUUCUUCGCCUUCCCCAUCUACGACUCCACCAAACACAAGACGCAAACGAAGGAGGUUUUUCUUAUUGUAAAGUUGUAACCUCUCAACCUCAUCUACAUGCGAUACAUUACUCAGCCCUUCUAUACUACAUUUACCACGGAGUUGAAGAUUUUUCAGAGAUUCAAGCCUACAUGUGCUGCCGCCAUCAACACCUCCACCCACAACAAACUUUUCUAAUGUUCGAAGGCUGGUCAAUCUGGAAAUCCCUAUUGGAAACUCCUCAUGUUCUUUAACUUCCCAAUCCCGGCUGGCAAUUCUCUAAGAUAUUUGCACCGCCUAAUAUCUAGCUUUUGUAAAUUAUAUAAUUCACACAAAGUCUCAGGUAGUCUCGCUAUAUAUAAUUUAGACAACUUAAGAUAUUAAGAUAUUUUAAAUGUAUCAAUUUUCCAACAUUAUUUGGAAUUUCUGUAAUCCAAUUUGUGCCUUCAUACAAAAGCUUGAUCGAUUGCCUUAUAACUAAUGCCCUUAAACAUGCCAAUUUAUUAAAUAACUCCCGAAGGAUGCUAUUAUUAAGAGACGGAUUGAAAAAACCUUCAUCAUAAAUUAAUAGGGUACGCAAUCUAUUAAGUCCAUAAAUGGUCAUAGGAAAUGAAGCUCCUCCUCCAAAAUUUAACCGUAAGUGACGGACUUUGUCACCAAAAAAUUUUAUGACUGAUUCCUUGGUACCAUUAAUUUCUAGCCACAAACAUUCUUUGCUACUUACAAAUUGGGCAAAAUCAUGUACUAUGUCAUGCAUCUUACAACUCGUGAAAUCAUCAUCGUCCUCAUAUAUUUUAAACUCUUGAAAGAAAGAGUGUGUUGCUAAGAUGUUGAAAUACUCUUCUCCAAUCAUCUCCAUUUCUUCGUCUUCUUCUGCAUUAAGGUAACCUUGAGCCAUCCACAGAUCAAUCAACUCCUCUUUAUCCAUCACGUAGUCUUUUGGAAAGACAGCACAAUAUGAGAAACACCGUUUUACCAUAGAAUUGGAGGGCAAAUCGUUAUAACUCAACAACAAAGGAGCCAAAAGACCUUGCCCAAUCUCUUCUACUUUCCACAUUUCACUCUCUAAAAUUCUUUGCCACUCUUUUACUGUACUUUUAGAGCGCAAGAGAUUCCCUAUUACCUUUGCAGCAAGAGGCAGGCCUUUGCACUUACAUGCAAUUUUUCGCCCGAUUGGUUCUAAUUUUUCACAAUCCUCAAAAGAACGACCGAAAAAUGCUAACUGCUUGAACAAUGACCAGCAUUCCUCUUCAACCAAUUGCUUGAUGGAGAUAAUAUUUGUUGAUCCCAUCAUACGUGCAACUAACUCAUUACGUGUGGUAACCAAAAUUUUACUUCCGUGGAGACCAUUUUUUAGACAACGGAAGAAUGGUUGCCAUUUAUUGUAAUCCCCAUCCCAUACAUCAUCUAAGACAAGAAAAUUUUUUUUUCCUUUAAUUGAACUCUGGAUACGGCUCAUAAGAGAUUGGAAUUCGUUUAAACCAGAAGCUGACUUCCCUAGACCUUCAAUGAUUGCUUUGGCAAUCCUAAUCUGAUCAAAAGUGUCCGAUACACACACCCAUAUAACUUUUUCAAAAUUUCUUUUCACCUCAUCAUUAUUAUAGGCUAGUUGUGCAAGAGUGGUUUUACCUAUACCCCCUAACCCAACCAGUGAAAUGACCUGAAGGCCAUUUUGUUGUUCACUACUUUCACACAACAACUUGCUUAAGAGCUCACUUUUCUCAUCAACCCUACCGCAAACCUCUCCCUCAUCAAUCAAGGACGUGGUUCGCACUCUCUCUGGUUUCUUAACAUUGUUACUCACAUUCUCAACUAAUUUGAAACUAUCUUUUUGUCUGGCAAUAUCAUCUAGCUUUUCACUGAUUUCUCUAAUCUUGACAGCAAUAUCAUGACGAAGACUGAGUUGUUUGAAACCACCAAAGCAGUUUGAGGCAGCAGGAAAGAAGAAACAUACCUUCGUCAAAAAAGUAACAAAAGCACCGUCGUUAUCAUCAUAAUCAUCAUCGCCUCCCUCAUCAAGCUGCAAUUUCCGUGUUUCAGUGAUCCACUCUUCCAACACAUCUUCCAUGUCGUAGGAUGCGUCUCUGAGCUGAUCCAGCCAAAAAGUAACAGCUUUGUCCUGCUUCAUUUGCCUCUGCUCUGCAUCUUCCAGCACAGCUUGAAUGGCUUGAAGAUUGGUGGUAAGCUUUCCCACUUCUUGUUCGACACCCGUCACAAGCCUCCACUUUUCUUUCACCUGAUCUUGAGCAAUGGAUUUCAGCUGGUCCAGGAGAGGGGAAACGAUCGCAUGAGCCAUUCUGAUAUUAGAUCAAAUGGUAAAUGCUGCAAUUGCUUUUCUUUCUAAACUGCUCAGAGGAAAGUAGCUUUUAUGUAUUCUGUGAGAAU
rnacentral:lncRNA from 1 species